rnacentral:lncRNA from 1 species
UGCAGAGCUCAGAGCCAAAUCUUUGGGAAUCUUUGGCUGCUGUGGGGGGUCCAGGAUGCUCCUGACCGCUCCCACACCCUCCUGAAGAUUCCUGGGAUAGGGAUGAGGAUCCCAAAGUGCAGGAUGUGUUUAACAUCACUCAGGGACGGCUGCUGUCACAUCGAUGUCCCCAACACCGCUCUCACUUCCAGCACCGCCGGGAACGCGGGAAUUGCGGCGGCUGAUCCGCGCCGGAUCCGUGUUCCCAAUCCAUGUUCCCGCUUUGCGACAUCGUUUUGCAUUUUGCUCCUCAUUUUUGCACUUUUCACGCUUUUCAGGACCUGAACCAUCAGUCCUGGCAGCUGGAGGCGGCGGGAGCCCCCCCUUUUCCUGCCGCAGGGAUGCGGGAGAAUGGGAAGAGCCGUUUUCUACCCAAAUCCUCAAUUUUCCUCCCCAAGGAGAGGCCGGGGCUGUGGGCAGUGGCUGAGGGGGGCUGUGAGAUCCUGGGGAAUUCCUGGCUCCCCAAAUCCCUGUGGCCUCAUCCGGCCAGGAGGGAUCCCCGAGUUUGGGGUGCUCCAGAGAGCGGGAGGAGCAGAGGGACUGGGAACGCUGGGGAUACUGGGGAGCGGGAUAUGUGGGAAAUGGGAAUGCUGCCGUGGGGUGGCAAUUCCCAUUGGAAUCCCAAUGGGAACGGAUCCCACACAGGGUGGGAGUCACUUUUCCCUCCCUCAACUCCAGGACAGGAAUUUCUGGAUUUAACCCCUCACAAGAAGAGACAAAGAUUCCUGUGGAAAAUCAUUCCCAGGCUGCAGCCCCCCACUCCAAGCCUGGCUCCUUCAUUCCCAAAUCCCGGCUCCUGGUGGAGGGGAGGGGCGCUCGGGUGGGGUCCCCACCCCAGCGAGGUGGCGACUGUCACAGCGGAGAGGGGGACACCACGGCACAUCUGGGCACAGCUGGGCACGGGGAGGGGGCCCUGGGGACCCCAGCCCCCCCUUUGGAGACCCCAGCCCCCCCCUUUGGGGACCCC